ACAGAAAAAGUCGAAAGUCGAUUUUCAAGGGUAAAAUAUCGAUUCACUGAAUCGAUUCAGUACGACAUAUCGAUUUAAAAAAUCGAUUUAUUUGGUCCGAGAAAUCGAUUCUUCGAUUAAUCGAUUUGAGAUCGACAUCCCUACUCCACAAUGUGCUGGAGUCCAUGUGAAUUCAACAGUGAUAUUUUGGUUACGCAAAUCCGUCCAAAGUUUUUUAAUGUGAUAGAUGACAUGGUUUAUUCUAUUGCUAAAGCAAUUAUUUUGAAGGUUGAAAAGAACUGACAUACUGUCACUGACGAUAAGCCACUUAUUCUGUUUUCUGGCACAUAUGUCUUCUUUUAUAUAUUUCAAGGCAUGCAAUAUAGCAAGUGCUUCUGCUGUGAAAAUGCUGGAUGAAGGUAUGCCAAGAGUCAAUAGCUCUCUAGUGAGAACUUUAUGGUCAACAUUAUUAAAUGCUCCAACAAUAUCAAGAAAAACACAGACAAGGAAUCUGUUAUAUGCAAAUGCACUAUGAAUAUCUAAGUAAAGAUUAUUCAUACUUUCAGCAGCAGAAAAACCUCUACGGAAACCAAAUUGAUUUGAAGAUGGUCGAUAAUGGCGUUUGUCUGUUGAGUAACUCACAAAAAGCUGUCCAAGAAGCUUCUCUUUCUUUAUUAAGUGAAAGUUUUUUAAGUGCUUGUUGUUUUUUAAAUGAGAUAUAGUUUUCCAUAGAAGGAUCUGAUUUGAAUUGCAAAUAAACCUUGCGACACUGUUCUAUGGCAGCAGUACAGGUCUGAUUCCACCAAGGUAGACAUAGCCUUUUUUUGUGAUUUGUGUUGUGUGAUAAGGUUAUGUUUUUUGGUUUCGUGUUAGCAUCAUUGACACUUUCCAAUAAAAUAUUACAAAAAAUGGUGUAUGAAAGAAUGGGAUCGGAAAAAUCGAAAGUGUGAUCUAAAAUUUUGGAGUCAACAAUUUGUUUAUACUUGAACCAGUCAACAUUUACGUAGCUUGGUUUGGAAAAAUUACCCUGACUUGCUUUGUUAUUUGUAUUUUCAGAAUAGCUGAACAAGAUGCUAGUGACAGUUGGCAAGUGAUAGCUGCCCAUUGGAUCAUUGUGAACAGACCAGUUGCAACGAAGUGAUAGUGAUGAUGAAACAAUUGUGAGAUCUAAUGCAUUGGGACGCCAUUUGUGGGAACCCACAGUGGUGGCUUGUCCAUCAUUGAGUAUACAAAGAUCACUAUCUUCAAUAAUACUAUGUAGUGUUGUACCACGACCAUUAUUCGAAGUGCAACCCCACAUUGUAUGAUGAGCAUUAAAAUCACCUGCCAAUAGCAAGGGCUUUGGAAGAGAAUCAAUCAAAUUAUUGAUAUGUGUAUAAGUAAAAUUUUGCGAGGCAGCUGAAGUAGGACUAUAGAAGCUAACAAUAGAGAUUUCUUCAUUGUUGAACUGUAAUCUAAUAGCUAUGUUCUGCAAAGAAUCAUCAUGUAAUGUAUUUAAUCUAAUAUAGUUUAAAUUAUUUUUUAUAAGUAUAGCAACACCAUUAUGGUUGCUACCAAUAUCUAAUCUUUCUAUUUUGUAACCUUUGAUAUUAAAUUUUUUUUCGGGUUUUAACCAUGUUUCAGAAAUUAAAGCAAUAUGUAUAUCAUUAUUGUAAAGGAAAUAUGUAAAAGCAUGUUUAUUACUAGAUAGACUUUGAGCAUUCCACUGAAUUAUAUUCAAGUGGUCCAUAAAAAAAUUAAGUGGUUUUAAGUUUAUUUCUGUUUUUGUUUGUACUGAAAGUAUCUAAUAGAAUGCUUUUGAUGCCUGCAGAAGUAACAGGCGUUUCGUCAGACUUGUUGAGAGAUAUUAUUUUGAUAAUAGAAGAAAUAAGUAAGUUUACAAAGUCAUCGCACUGUAGGAGGUUUUUUAUAUUAUCAGUUGGUUUAGACUUGUUUAAUGUUGGAAAAGACUUCUCAUUGAAUAAAUCGGCGUAUGCAACUUUUUGGUA